GGUUGCUUGGUUUUUUACUAAACAUUAACUGAAUGAAAACGGGUAGUCCUUGUUCUGCUUGGGGGGCUUUAAGGAAGCAAAUGGACUUUCAGAACAGAGAUUGUCAAUAAAGGAGUAGGCUGACAUAUGGCCUCCGGAGUAUGGUUCCAGGAUUCAGUCACUAGGUGUUUUAGAUUUGAUUCCAUUGGAAAAAUACAGUGUGAUAAGUAACGUGCGUGAGAAGAUUAGUAUGUGCCCGACACAAGAGUUCGCUGAAUGAAUGAUCAGAAGAAAGGAGCUCCACCAAACUGAAGACCCUUUCUCAGGAGUAACUCUAAUACCAAGUUGAGUCAGACUCCUACCAAAGUUUACCACUUAUUGACUUGGAAUAGUUGCAUUUCAACAGAGAGAUGCUGGCUGACUGAAAGGACUAUCACAUGCUUCUUUUCUUGAGAGUACCUGAGCAGAGCGAAAAUGAUCGCCAUUUGAAAUUGGGGAUCACUUGCAAACCAUUCUCACGAAGGCCUGGAACCCAUCUCUACAACCCCUUGGCUCACUCAUGAGACUGCUGUGCAUGACAUGGUCUCAGGAGCAUUCUGUCCUGACGCCAGGAGCAUCCUGUCAUGCACCCUGCGCCAUUCAGGAUUCAUCUCAGGAAUACCCAGCCUGAGCUUUGGAUGUGUCCUCUGAGGAAGUACCCAUGACACAGACCACACUGGACACCAACUCUGAUAUCAGGGAAAGGUUCCACAACAGUUGAGUGUGAACAUGGGAUCACUGAGCUCCUUGGCGCAGAGCUGCUAAUGUCCCCUCUUGAGCUGACGGAGGCUGGUGCUGCCUUGAAGCAUGCCAUGCCAAUUCACAGCAAGGUCUUUAUUGUUGAAACUCUUGCAUAAUGACAUCUUUAUUCAUGUGAAAAUACAGGAUGAAUUUCAACUAUAUGAUAUUGUUUAUGUUCAUCAGAAAUGUUAUUUGUCUUUACAAAGUCUGGUUUCAAUGAACCGGCUAUGUAAUGGAUAUUAAAUAAACAUGGAAUUUUACACAUUCAUAA